AGAGGGAUUUGCAAUCAUUACGAGUCACUUUCCAUUUUGACUUGUAGCCCAAACAAUUGCACACCAGUGCGAGGCUUCGAUAAAAGCUGCUCACUGCAGAUAAGAGUGACCCCCAUUUACGAGCAGGCACUUGACAGGGUACCAGAUGACAUUUUUAUUAAUAAACCAGAGAAAUCAACAUGAUACACAUUAAAUGGAUUAAAAAGCUGGGUAAAUUAUGGAGUUUAAAAUGAAAUUUUCUACAGACAUAAAACAGAUUUCACAGGAUGUUACAGGUCAUGAAAUGCAGCCCUUUUCUAAACCCCUGUGCUCAGAUCACAAGCUACUGCUGCACACAAAUUCCUCAGUCUAUCCUCUGCAAGGGUGGCAUUUCACCCAACGCUGAGCCCCUCAGCAUCCUGAGGGCUUGAGAUAAGAUUGUUAUUAUUGUUGUUUUAAACACAAGCAUGCUGCAUCAUGUCACUUAAAAAAUGCUGUAUAGAUGUUAUACCACAUGGGAAAGCAGACUGUUUAAAAACAGAGAUUUGCUGUAUUCCAGUUCAAAAGCAAGAACUUAAUUUAUAUUUUUUCCAUAGCCUGUAGGUAGCCAUGGGCUACAAUUUGUAGGGAAUGUGCACUUACUGGCCAAAACUUCAGAAGUGUUCACUGCCCAGCCCCUUUCAAGCAGCCAUAUAAGAGAACAGGCACUUUUGGGCCCCAUAUUAGUUCCUGAGCUCUUGCAUCUCCUGUCCUUGGCACCUUCUAUGCAGAAGCAGGUUCUGUGCUGCAGCUUGAGGAGCUGGUGGCCUCUGGAGAAGAUGCAUGAAUCUGCUUUGCAGGAAAUGAAAGGGAGGGGAGGAUCCCUUAAACAUUGAUGAGCUGAACUUUCUGCUUUAUGACUGGAGUAAUUUAGUUAUGAUUCAGGUCAUAGAUGGUCAGUUUUUGUUUCCUACUGUACUGGCAUUGUGCAACAUGCAGUUCAGACCUUGUUUCAUUUUGGAAGAGUAAGCAAAUUAUGUGAAUAGU